rnacentral:rRNA from 1 species
AGUGAACGCUGGCGGCAGGCCUAACACAUGCAAGUCGAACGGCAGCACAGAGGAGCCUGCUCCUUGGGUGGCGAGUGGCGGACGGGUGAGGAAUACAUCGGAAUCUGCCUAUUUGUGGGGGAUAACGUAGGGAAACUUACGCUAAUACCGCAUACGACCUACGGGUGAAAGCGGAGGACCUUCGGGCUUCGCGCAGAUAGAUGAGCCGAUGUCGGAUUAGCUAGUUGGCGGGGUAAAGGCUCACCAAGGCGACGAUCCGUAGCUGGUCUGAAAGGAUGAUCGGCCACACUGGAACUGGGACACGGUCCAGACUCCUACGGGAGGCAGCAGGGGUGAAUAUUGGACAAUGGGCGCAAGCCUGAUCCAGCCAUGCCGCGUGGAUGAAGAAGGCCUUCGGGUUGUAAAGCCCUUUUGUUGGGAAAGAAAAGCAGUCGGUUAAUACCCGAUUGUUCUGACGGUACCCAAAGAAUAAGCACCGGCUAACUUCGUGCCAGCCGCCGCCGUAAGAC